GACGAACGCUGGCGGCGUGCCUAAUACAUGCAAGUAGAACGCUGAAGAGAGGAGCUUGCUCUUCUUGGAUGAGUUGCGAACGGGUGAGUAACGCGUAGGUAACCUGCCUGGUAGCGGGGGAUAACUAUUGGAAACGAUAGCUAAUACCGCAUAAAAUUGAUUAUUGCAUGAUAAUUAAUUGAAAGAUGCAAUUGCAUCACUACCAGAUGGACCUGCGUUGUAUUAGCUAGUUGGUGAGGUAACGGCUCACCAAGGCGACGAUACAUAGCCGACCUGAGAGGGUGAUCGGCCACACUGGGGCUGAGACACGGCCCAGACUCCUACGGGAGGCAGCAGUAGGGAAUCUUCGGCAAUGGGGGGAACCCUGACCGAGCAACGCCGCGUGAGUGAAGAAGGUUUUCGGAUCGUAAAGCUCUGUUGUAAGAGAAGAACGGGUGAGAGAGUGGAAAGUUCACACUGUGACGGUAUCUUACCAGAAAGGGACGGCUAACUACGUGCCAGCAGCCGCGGUAAUACGUAGGUCCCGAGCGUUGUCCGGAUUUAUUGGGCGUAAAGCGAGCGCAGGCGGUUAGAUAAGUCUGAAGUUAAAGGCUGUGGCUUAACCAUAGUAUGCUUUGGAAACUGUUUAACUUGAGUGCAGAAGGGGAGAGUGGAAUUCCAUGUGUAGCGGUGAAAUGCGUAGAUAUAUGGAGGAACACCGGUGGCGAAAGCGGCUCUCUGGUCUGUAACUGACGCUGAGGCUCGAAAGCGUGGGGAGCAAACAGGAUUAGAUACCCUGGUAGUCCACGCCGUAAACGAUGGGUGCUAGGUGUUAGGCCCUUUCCGGGGCUUAGUGCCGCAGCUAACGCAUUAAGCACUCCGCCUGGGGAGUACGACCGCAAGGUUGAAACUCAAAGGAAUUGACGGGGGCCCGCACAAGCGGUGGAGCAUGUGGUUUAAUUCGAAGCAACGCGAAGAGCCUUACCAGGUCUUGACAUCCCUCUGACCGCUCUAGAGAUAGAGUUUUCCUUCGGGACAGAGGUGACAGGUGGUGCAUGGUUGUCGUCAGCUCGUGUCAUGAGAUGUUGGGUUAAGUCCCGCAACGAGCGCAACCCCUAUUGUUAGUUGCCAUCAUUCAGUUGGGCACUCUAGCGAGACUGCCGGUAAUAAACCGGAGGAAGGUGGGGAUGACGUCAAAUCAUCAUGCCCCUUAUGACCUGGGCUACACACGUGCUACAAUGGCUGGUACAACGAGUCGCAAGCCGGUGACGGCAAGCUAAUCUCUGAAAGCCAGUCUCAGUUCGGAUUGUAGGCUGCAACUCGCCUACAUGAAGUCGGAAUCGCUAGUAAUCGCGGAUCAGCACGCCGCGGUGAAUACGUUCCCGGGCCU
rnacentral:rRNA from 1 species